rnacentral:misc_RNA from 1 species
GAUGAAGAACGCAGCGAAAUGCGAUAAGUAAUGUGAAUUGCAGAAUUCAGUGAAUCAUCGAAUCUUUGAACGCACAUUGCGCCCGUCAGUAUUCUGGCGGGCAUGCCUGUUCGAGCGUCAUUACGCCCCUCAAGUCCCCUGUGGACUUGGUGUUGGGGAUCGGCGAGGCUGGUUUUCCAGCACAGCCGUCCCUUAAAUUAAUUGGCGGUCUCGCCGUGGCCCUCCUCUGCGCAGUAGUAAAACACUCGCAACAGGAGCCCGGCGCGGUCCACUGCCGUAAAACCCCCCAACUUUUAUAGUUGACCUCGAAUCAGGUAGGACUACCCGCUGAACUUAAGCAUAUCAAUAAGCGGAGGA